AACGUAGGGGACAAGCGUUAUCCGGAUUUACUGGGCGUAAAGCGCCCGUAGGCGGCCUGACAAGUUGGGCGUGAAAGCUCCUGGCUUAACUGGGAGAGGCCGUUCAAAACUGUCAAGCUAGAGUCUGGAAGAGGAGAGCGGAAUUCCCGGUGUAGUGGUGGAAUGCGUAGAGAUCGGGAGGAACACCAGUGGCGAAAGCGGCUCUCUGGUCCAAAACUGACGCUGAGGGGCGAAAGCGUGGGGAGCGAACGGG
rnacentral:rRNA from 1 species